rnacentral:rRNA from 1 species
GUGAACGCUGGCGGUAGGCCUAACACCUGCAAGUCGAACGGCAGCACAGUAAGCGCUUGCUCUUACGGGUGGCGAGUGGCGGACGGGUGAGGAAUACAUCGGAAUCUACUUUUUCGUGGGGGAUAACGUAGGGAAACUUACGCUAAUACCGCAUACGACCUACGGGUGAAAGCAGGGGAUCUUCGGACCUUGCGCGAUUGAAUGAGCCGAUGUCGGAUUAGCUAGUUGGCGGGGUAAAGGCCCACCAAGGCGACGAUCCGUAGCUGGUCUGAGAGGAUGAUCAGCCACACUGGAACUGAGACACGGUCCGGACUCCUACGGGAGGCAGCAGUGGGGAAUAUUGGACAAUGGGCGCAAGCCUGAUCCAGCCAUACCGCGUGGGUGAAGAAGGCCUUCGGGUUGUAAAGCCCUUUUGUUGGGAAAGAAAAGCAGCAGGUUAAUACCCCGCUGUUCUGACGGUACCCAAAGAAUAAGCACCGGCUAACUUCGUG